GUGGGGAAUAUUGCACAAUGGGGGAAACCCUGAUGCAGCGACGCCGCGUGCGGGAUGACGGCCUUCGGGUUGUAAACCGCUUUUAAUUGGGAGCAAGCGAGAGUGAGUGUACCUUUUGAAUAAGCACCGGCUAACUACGUGCCAGCAGCCGCGGUAAUACGUAGGGUGCAAGCAUUAUCCGGAAUUAUUGGGCGUAAAGAGCUCGUAGGCGGUUUGUCACGCCUGGUGUGAAAGUCCAUCGCUUAACGGUGGAUCUGCGCCGGGUACGGGCAGGCUAGAGUGCAGUAGGGGAGACUGGAAUUCCCGGUGUAACGGUGGAAUGUGUAGAUAUCGGGAAGAACACCAAUGGCGAAGGCAGGUCUCUGGGCUGUUACUGACGCUGAGGAGCGAAAGCAUGGGGAGCGAACAGGAUUAGAAACCCCAGUAGUCC
rnacentral:rRNA from 1 species